rnacentral:rRNA from 1 species
AGAGUUUGAUCCUGGCUCAGAACGAACGUUAGCGGCGCGCCUAACACAUGCAAGUCGAACGCGACAGGGGCAACUCUGUUGAGUGGCGCACGGGUGAGUAACACGUAGGUAAUCUCCCCCCGAGUGGUGGAUAACCCUCCGAAAGGAGAGCUAAUACAGCAUAAGACCACGGCUUCGAAAGGAGCUGAGGUCAAAGCGGAGGAUCGUAAGACUUCGCGCUUGGGGAUGAGCCUGCGGCCCAUCAGGUAGUUGGCGGGGUAAUGGCCCACCAAGCCAUAGACGGGUAGCUGGUCUGAGAGGAUGAUCAGCCACACUGGAACUGAGACACGGUCCAGACUCCUACGGGAGGCAGCAGUGGGGAAUCUUGCGCAAUGGACGAAAGUCUGACGCAGCGACGCCGCGUGGGUGAUGAAGGCCUUCGGGUUGUAAAGCCCUGUGGGGAGGGACGAAUAAGUUGCGGCUAAUACCCGCAGCGAUGACGGUACCUCCUUAGCAAGCACCGGCUAACUCUGUGCCAGCAGCCGCGGUAAGACAGAGGGUGCAAACGUUGUUCGGAAUUACUGGGCGUAAAGCGCGUGUAGGCGGCUAUGCAAGUCGGAUGUGAAAGCCCUCGGCUCAACCGGGGAAGUGCACCCGAAACUGCAAAGCUAGAGUCUCGGAGAGGAUCGUGGAAUUCUCGGUGUAGAGGUGAAAUUCGUAGAUAUCGAGAGGAACACCGGUGGCGAAGGCGGCGAUCUGGACGAUGACUGACGCUGAGACGCGAAAGCGUGGGGAGCAAACAGGAUUAGAUACCCUAGUAGUCC